AGAACGAACGCUGGCGGCAGGCCUAAUACAUGCAAGUCGAACGCACUCUUCGGAGUGAGUGGCAGACGGGUGAGUAACGCGUGGGAACCUUCCCAAUGGUACGGAAUAACUCCGGGAAACCGGUGCUAAUACCGUAUAAGCCCCUCGGGGGAAAGAUUUAUCGCCAUUGGAUGGGCCCGCGUCGGAUUAGCUAGUUGGUAAGGUAAUGGCUUACCAAGGCUACGAUCCGUAGCUGGUCUGAGAGGAUGAUCAGCCACACUGGGACUGAGACACGGCCCAGACUCCUACGGGAGGCAGCAGUAGGGAAUCUUGGACAAUGGGCGAAAGCCUGAUCCAGCCAUGCCGCGUGAGUGAAGAAGGCCUUAGGGGUUGUAAAGCUCUUUUGGCGGGACGAUAAUGACGGUACCCGCAGAAUAAGCCCGGCUAACUUCGUGCCAGCAGCCGC
rnacentral:rRNA from 1 species